UACGAAGGGUGCAAGCGUUAAUCGGAAUUACUGGGCGUAAAGCGCGUGUAGGCGGUUUCUUAAGUCUGAUGUGAAAGCCCUGGGCUCAACCCAGGAAGUGCAUUGGAUACUGGGAGACUUGAAUACGGGAGAGGGUAGUGGAAUUCCUAGUGUAGGAGUGAAAUCCGUAGAUAUUAGGAGGAACACCGGUGGCGAAGGCGGCUACCUGGACCGAUAUUGACGCUGAGACGCGAAAGCGUGGGGAGCAAACAGGAUUAGAAACCCGUGUAGU
rnacentral:rRNA from 1 species